AUUGAACGCUGGCGGCAGGCCUAACACAUGCAAGUCGAGCGGAGCGGCGGACGGGUGCGUAAUGCCUAGGCAUCUGCCUGGUAUUUGGGGAUAACGUCCGGAAACGGGCGCUAAUACCGCAUACUAUCAGAUGAGCCUAGGUCGGAUUAGCUAGUUGUUGGGGUAAAUGCCUACCAAGGCGACGAUCCGUAACUGGUCUGAGUGGAUGUUCAGUCACACUGGACCUGAGACACGGCCCGUACCCCUACGGGAGGAAGCGGUGGGGAAUAUUGGACAAUGGGCGAAAUCCUGAUGCAGCAAGGCCGCGGGUGUGAAGAAGGUCUUCGGAUUGUAAAGCACUUUAAGUUGGGAGGCGUUACCAACAGAAUAAGCACCGGCUAACUUCGUGCCAGCAGCCGCGGUAAUAC
rnacentral:rRNA from 1 species